rnacentral:lncRNA from 1 species
UGAGAAAUGGAGAAAAUAGUAGAAUUGAAAAGGAGUUCUUUCAUAAAGGAAAAGUUAAGAAGCUCUUGAGGGAUAAUGACAUAAUAGAUAUUAGAAGAAAGAAAGAGGAGCAAAGAUAUAGAAAAGGAGAAAGAAACUUUAAAAGAUAUAGAAGAGGAACUCCUAAGAGUAAGGGAGGAGGAAGCUAGAAAGGAAAUGGAGGAGAGAGAAAAGAGAGAGAAAGAAGAAAAUGAAAGAAUAGAAAAGGAAGAGAAAGAAAAAGAAGAGAUUGAGAGGAGAAAAAAAGAGAAAGAUACACUCCUACUCAAAGAAGAAGUGUUACUCAAAACAUCUCCUACUCUGUUGGAAGUCCCACAUCGACUAAAGAUAAGGUCAAUUUAUAUAUAAUAUAUAAGUGAGGUGCAAUCCUCACCUUACAAGCCGGAUUUGUGGGGUUGAGUUAGGCUUAAAACCCACUUUUUAAUAUGGUAUCAGAGUCAUGAUUAAAGCCUAUCCUAGCGAGUUCUAAGUGGGCAUUUCUGUUUCUAUUCCACCCGUUGUCGGGCCGCUAUUGGACCACCCAAUUUCUAAUAUCACGCACGAGAUGUUUAUACCUUGACGUGAAGGAAGUGUGUUGGAAGUCUCACAUCGACUAGAGAUAAGGUCAAUUUAUAAUAUAUAUAAGUGAGGUGCAAUCCUCACCUUACAAGCCGGUUUUGUGGG